GCAGGGCAGCCAGCCUGGCCGGGGGCAGGGAAGGAGCCGCUGCGGCAGCCCGGCUCGCCCUCCCCUGCCAGAGGGAGCGCCCAGGAGAACACCCCUGGCAGCCGUGCCAGAAAAGUGUAGGGUGCAGAAUGCUUCUGUGAGGUGUUUCCGGAAGGCGCCCAAGUGGUGCCAUUUUCAAGAAAUUCCAAAAUCUCUUCCUUUCCUCCAUUGCCUUGUUGGCCGCAAAAGUGGGAUGCGGUCCUGGUGUGCUCAAGCGCCAGUCAAACAGUCCAGGGUAAGAGGAGGAAGAUGCUUCAUGCUGCAGAAAAACGGUCUCCUGGCACAAAGUAGGCAAAAUGGAGCCCAGGAAAAACAACUUCCAUUGUUAUCUUAUUUACAGGAAAGUAAGCAGGCACUGCACACUCUUGUCUUUCAGGGUCGCAGAAUCGCCCACGUAUGGGCACAUCUGGGGAAAACUCGGGUCAGUCCUUCAGCCAGGAGAUGCUGUCUCCUGCCCCCUCCCCGCACCCCAUGCUCUGGAUUGGGAAGAGGGGCUCUUGGCUAGAGUCCCCCCCUCCUGUUGGCCACUUCAAGUAGCCGCAUCACUGGAUCUGCAUUCAGAAUUACCCAGUCUUCUUCCGUGAAUUAAAGUGUGUUCAUACACUUCAAAAAGUAUGCAUCUUUCCUGGUGCAUGCACUCCAUCUCCCCACUCUUGCCUUUCAGCUGCAUGGCAAGGUCAGGAGUAUAUAAACGUUUUUUCAUAGAAUAGUAGAGCUGGAAGGGGACACAAAGGCCAUCAAGUCCAACCCCGAUGGCCUUCAGGGCAGCAUGCGUUUUGCUUGACAGGUGUGAGCAGGGUAACUCUUCGCCACAAAUAGAAAUGAAUUUCGCAUGCAGGCGUGAGGCACUUGUGCUGGGCAGGGCGAGGUGCCCGUUCAGGUGAGGGAGAGAGUGCCAGAGUCUGCGCCCUUCACUCUGCCGGGACCUUUUAGCAUCUGAUGUAUUUGUCAGCGCAGGAGUCUUUCUUCCCUUUCUCCUCAAGUUGUGAUCAUGAGUGCUAUUUGAAAUUGCAUGUUGGAGUCAACAAAGUCACUAGAAGUGUGGGGUGGACCUUGCUGUGAAUUUUAUGUCAGUGCACUGAGGAGUUGUCCAGUCUGUUCUACUGCCUUGUAAACUACUGGGUGGCUCACGUAUCCAUAGGGACCAGAAACCCUGUUUGAUUUAAUGUGCGCCUGUAACUCAUGAGCAUGAUUCAGGAGUUCUCCUGUGUACCACUAAUGUGCAAGGUAGAGAGGCUGAGCGCCAGCCCCUGGCUCGGCUCCUGCGCUCCUCCGUGGCCACCCUCAUUGCCCGCCACCGACUGGCUGAAAGCGUCUGUGGCAGGGAACCUCUUCUGCUUGCGCGGGCUUUUGGCAUGACAUGGAACCCUGCGGGGUCCGUGCUGCAAAUGGCGAGGGGGCCUGCAUGGUGGGCGCGGCACCCACCCCUUCGCCUUGCAACGUGGGCCCUCGUGGGAGUGGGGACAGAAGCGGCACCCCCGGCUGCAAAACAGCCUGCGGGUGUCUUCGAGGUGGCCCAGGCGUGAAUUGUUUGGUGCAGGGAGGGACUCUAGUUUAUUUGGAUGACACACGAGUCUGCCUGGACGAUCUGGGUGGAUUUUGACCAACAACAUUCUGUUUGCAUGGAGGGACCUCCUUUUGCAACAGGCCUGCUGGCAGAAUAUGUAUUUUUUUCCUGGCUGCCUGUAGAGAAACCUGGCCUUGGAGGACAAGUGCCAUGGGGCUGAGUGGGGCUGGGCGCUUUGGCCCCACGGGGAAUGCAGCAGCAACUGGGAACGGUCAGCGCCCGCCCGUCUGCCCCAGACACCCUCUCAGUGGCACCUCCUCCUUUCUUCCCACAGAGAUGACUCUGCGGAAGUGGACGUCUACAGUCCGGCAAAGAACGAGUGGGACAAGAUCCCUCCAAUGCUCCAGGUGCAUGUUGGUGGCAGCCUGGCUGUCCUUGGUGGAAAGCUUUAUGUCUCUGGUGGUUACGAUAACACCUUUGAACUUUCAGGAAUGGUGGAAUCAUAUGAUCCCGAGACUCGGAAGUGGAGCGUGGCUGGCCAGCUCCCAGAGCCCAUCUUCUGGCACAGUAGUGUCAGUAUUUUCCGCCAGUUCAUGCCAGAGACGCUGGAAGACGAGGAGGAGGAGCGACUGCCUUUGGAUAAUGCCCUCAGCUUGAACCUGCAGCACAACCAGAACUUGAACGAGCUGCGUUAAUUGUGGGGACGGAUUUCCCCCGGCUUGGAGCCGCUGCGCUGCUGGGAGCCCGCUCUGCUUCGUGGGGAUGCUGCUGAGGUGCAAGGGGGGGCGCGGGGAAGCAGCGGCUGGGGAAGACGCCUGCCUGGCCACCGCUGAUUCACGCUCUCUCUCCUGCCUGUCAGAGGUGGGGCAGCCAUUACUGGGAAGCUCCAGAAAGGAAGGAGGAAGGCAGGUGGGAGAGGAAUUGGGGUCCAACUGCCCUGUUUGGCCUCAGAGUUGGCAAACUUUGAUCCAAAACCUUUGAAAAGCACCUUUCUUACAAGGCCGCGCUUUAUCAGUUGAGGGCAUUAGUUUGGUAAAAAGGCUGACAAAGGGUAGGAGAGGACAAUAUUCUGCACAAGUAUGCAAGGAGAGGGAAUAGGGAGGAGUUAAGGGCUUCGGAAGAGCCCCCUGCGACAUUAGACCCGGUGCAGUACCCUGGCCUCAUGGGUCAGCUGGAGGCCCAGAGGAAUACAAGUGCACCUGAGUCCUUCCUGCUGGUAGCCGGAGGCUGCAAUGUGGAGGCACCCGGCCCAGCACAGAGCUGUUGGGAGCAGUGCCACGGGUGGCUGCCAGUUCCGUGCAAGUAGUACAGUUACUGCAGGUCUCUCUCCUUUGGAUGGCGGUGACCCGGGUUCUAGUCCCCAUUUGCCAUGGUGCCAGCAGAGAAUCUCUGGGCCAGUCAGACUCUCAACCCAGCCUUCUCCACAGGGUUUUUGUUGUGGUGGUAAGACUUGAGAGCAGCAGGAGAAAGAUGGAAGCUGCCUUGAGUUCUUCAAGAAAAAGAGGGCAUAAAUCUAAUUUAAUUAAAUGCGCCGAAGUUGGUGGCCCUCACCCCACUUGCAGAAGUGCACCCUGUAGUAAUGCUUUCCCCCCUUCUCCACAUGACGCCAGCUGAAUUUAUGACUCUCAGGUGCAGGGGUGGCCACAGCCAUGGGCUUUAAAAGGGUGGUGGUCCAGCAGCCACCGCUGGCCAGCUCAGUGGACUGAGAGCUGCUGUGUCCUUCCGGGCCUUUUGCUAGGCACUGCAGUGGGCAAGACCUUCUGUCCCGUUAGGUUAAAAAGGAUGCAUCUCUUGGUGCAGGUGGGCACUCCUGAUCUUCACAGGGGCCCUGCAGUGAACCUGCUCCCUCCCCUCCUGCAGCCCGUGCCCCACACCUGCAGCCCAGACCCCCAGAGGGUACCCUCUCCCCCUGGAAAGUUCUCUGCCGCCUGUGGCUGCUGGAAGCAGGGCUGUCCUCUGCCUGCUUCGGCUGGCCAGACUGGACCUUGGAGGGUUGUCAGUGGUGCCCCGAUCGGUUCAUGUGUACCUUGUGGACAUGACUGGGCAAGUGUCUCCGCUGCUCUCAAGCCCAGAUAUGGAUCUCCACAACCCUUCCCUUGCCACCAGGACCCAUGCUCCUUUCCCUGCGGUACCAGCCUGCAUUGUGCUCAUUGCUCUGCAGACCUUACCUCUUAAGCACAGGCAAGGCCCCUCGUGGUAAAAGGGAGGGGGCGACAGAAAAGGGAGCAAGCUUUAUUUAAUGCUGCAGAACCCUCCUUUGCUGGCUCUCUGCUGGGACUGGGAUGUCUUGCACUAAACACUGCCGCAGUGGGCGUGGGGAACCACGGGCCCAGAGCACAAAGCUGACCCUCCUGAGCUCCCAGGCCAGGCCUCCCGAUGCCCGAGAUGGACCCUCCCUCUCUUGCAGCCAUUGAUCCUUGUGUGGUUACCCAGUUUUAACAGUGUUUUCUCCCCUUCUAAAAUGUUGACAUGCCUUUACGUGUAGGAAGGGCUAAUGCCGAAAUAGGUCAGCAUUUUGGCCCUGCCCCUUUCGCUGCAGCCACUGGAUUUGGUUGGGUUCAAGUUUCCCCCUGCUGCUUAAGGGGAAAUGAGCAAAGCUGAGAGGGGGUUCGAGCACUGGAAGUGUCUGCAAGGGCUCGCACAUCCUUGCUAAUGCUGUUAGUCUGCAGGGACCCUUCCUCUUCCACCUUCUGCCGUCUUUGAAAACAGUUCCUUUUAAACGAGAGCACAUCAAGCGAGUGAAAUUAAAGCAGCAAGGAAAAGCUGUGUGCAUUUCGAAAAGGGUUCAGAUGCAUGCCCUGUUCCAACAGUUUCUGAGAAGGUUGUCUGUUUUGAACACUGGGGGAAACACUUCAUGUGUAAACAGAACCUGGUUACACAUGGCAAUGACACAACUGGGAAUUCUGGUGAGGGAGCAGUGGCUCCUGCAAGCCAAACUAUUUGUUUUGGUUCUUGAGAACAGUCUCAAGCCUCUGAGAUUGGAAACAAAUAUUUGUCAGAAAACCUCACUCUUUGAUACUCUGGGGGUUACGUGAUUUGUGCAGCUCGCUUUUCAUAUUUCACCUAUAGGAGCAUCUUGCACCCAGGGGGAGCACUGUGCUCCUAAGAGGGCGCAUCGAUUUCCAAGGAACACUGUCCCGCUUGCCAGCAAAUGAAGCGGGAGGCCGCACGCUGCUGCCUCAGCACCUUGCCGCUGCUGGAAGGCUCACCAGAAGCCUCCACCGAGCCUCCACCCCCUCCCUCUUCCUCGCAUCCACACGACCAGCUUUUGGGUCUGACCCACGGGGAGGAGAGGAUGCCUGGCAACGAGUGCCCGUGCAGCCCAGCUGCCUCCCUCCAGGCAGUGAGGAGCAGCCGCCACCGCCCCCAACGACUUCCUUUAGUAUUGCUCACUCGCAAGGGUUUUGUGCUGGGCUGUUCUGCAGGCCAAUAGGCAACAUGCUGCUUUUAUCACCGUGCCAGACCGUGCAUUGUCCUGGAAGCUCUAAGACCAGAUGAGUCACUAAAUAUUUAUUUAAUCUACUGCCUUAAGUUCUGUGUGCCAACAUCCUUUGAAACAAAGGGAUUUCGUAGAUUUUGUAUUUUUCCCCUUUAACCUUGAAAGCUGAGUGUUAAAUAAAGGUGUGCGUGGAGA